UUCGAGAAGCUCGCCGGCGAGGCCGCCAAGCUGGCGCGGUACAACAAGAAGCCAACCAUCACGUCCCGGGAGAUCCAGACCUCCGUCCGCCUCGUCCUCCCCGGCGAGCUCGCCAAGCACGCCGUCUCCGAGGGCACCAAGGCUGUCACCAAGUUCACCUCCUCUUAGGCUGUUCGUCUUCCUGUGUCUCGUAGUUAGCUGUUCGGGUGUGUUUGUGGCCGUGUUAUCCUGUAAGAAUCGCACCGCGAUGUUUCUGUAUCUCGAGAAAUGGUAAUGGUGCCUGCCUCAAUGUUCAGUACGUACAUGCUAGUCUUAUUUUGUUCUGGUCUUGAAUUCUUGAUCUCGAGUCAAGGUGCUGAUCCUCUCCUUUCUGAGAAUCAUGUGCUCUUAUCGGCGGUCUUAGACUUUGCUUUUCCAAAUUCUGUGUG
rnacentral:lncRNA from 1 species